UGGGGAAUUGUUCGCAAUGGGCGCAAGCCUGACGACGCAACGCCGCGUGGAGGAUGAAGGUCUUCGGAUUGUAAACUCCUGUUGACCGGGACGAAUGGGCGACGACCUAACACGUCGGAGCAGUGACGGUACCGGUUGACGAAGCCACGGCUAACUCUGUGCCAGCAGCCGCGGUAAUACAGAGGGGGCAAGCGUUAUUCGGAAUUAUUGGGCGUAAAGGGCGCGUAGGCGGCCUGGCAAGUGGAAGGUGAAAUCCCUCGGCUUAACCGAGGAACUGCCCUCCAAACUGCUUGGCUUGAGUCCGGGAGAGGUGAGUGGAAUUCCCAGUGUAGCGGUGAAAUGCGUAGAUAUUGGGAGGAACACCAGUGGCGAAGGCGGCUCACUGGACCGGAACUGACGCUGAGGCGCGAAAGCGUGGGGAGCAAAC
rnacentral:rRNA from 1 species